rnacentral:rRNA from 1 species
GAAGCUGCGGCUAACUACGUGCCAGCAGCCGCGGUAAUACGUAGGCAGCAAGCGUUGUUCGGAAUUACUGGGCGUAAAGAGUGUGUAGGCGGUGCCCUAAGUUCGGUGUGAAAUCUCCCGGCUCAACUGGGAGGGUGCGCCGGAAACUGGGGUGCUCGAGUAGGGGAGAGGUAAGCGGAAUUCCUGGUGUAGCGGUGAAAUGCGUAGAUAUCAGGAGGAACACCUGUGGUGUAGACAGCUUGCUGGACCAUUACUGACGCUGAGACACGAAAGCGUGGGUAGCAA